rnacentral:rRNA from 1 species
AGUGAACGCUGGCGGUAUGCCUAACACAUGCAAGUCGAACGGCAGCACAGUAAGAGCUUGCUCUUACGGGUGGCGAGUGGCGGACGGGUGAGGAAUACAACGGUAUCUACUUUUUCGUGGGGGAUAACGUAGGGAAACUUACGCUAAUACCGCAUCCGACCUACGGGUGAAAGCAGGGGAUCUUCGGACCUUGCGCGAUUGAAUGAGCCGAUGUCGGAUUAGCUAGUUGGCGGGGUAAAGGCCCACCAAGGCGACGAUCCGUAGCUGGUCUGAGAGGAUGAUCAGCCACACUGGAACUGAGACACGGUCCAGACUCCUACGGGAGGCAGCAGUGGGAAAUAUUGGACAAUGGGCGCAAGCCUGAUCCAGCCAUACCGCGUGGGUGAAGAAGGCCUUCGGGUUGUAAAGCCCUUUUGUUGGGAAAGAAAAGCAGCAGGUUAAUACCCCGCUGUUCUGACGGUACCCAAAGAAUAAGCACCGGCUAACUUCGUG